AAAAUUCAGAUGCCAAGAACGUUGCAAGUUCCACUGAGAGAGAAGAGCUAUCGUUGAUAUAUAUAGAGUUCUUGGGCCUUUUUGGAGAUGUCAAGACCAUCAAAAAGGCAGAAGAUCAACACGCUAAACUCUUUCGUCGGAGCACGUCAGAGCUGAGAAAGCGUAGCGCAGAUGACUUUCUAUCUUCUGAUAGGACUAAAAUGGCGAAAACUUACAACAGAACUCUUCCUGCUCAGCCAGUGUCUGCACAAGCUCAGUGGUCUGGUGGAUACGCUGCACAGCCUCAGGCUUGUCCACAAGCACAAGCCGCUCCUGCAUAACCACAGCAAUGGAACCCCGCCUAUGGCCAGCAGGCUGCGUAUGGUGCAUAUCCCGCUGGUUAUACUGCUCCACAAGCACCAGCACCCGGCCCACAAGCUGCUGCUUAUGGCGUAUAUC